rnacentral:rRNA from 1 species
UACAGAGGGGGCGAGCGUUGUUCGGAAUUACUGGGCGUAAAGGGCGCGUAGGCGGCCAACUAAGUCAGACGUGAAAUCCCUCGGCUCAACCGGGGAACUGCGUCUGAUACUGGAUGGCUUGAAUUCGGGAGAGGGAUGCGGAAUUCCAGGUGUAGCGGUGAAAUGCGCAGAUAUCAGGAAGAACACCCGUGGCGAAAGCGGCUCUCUGGAACGGUACUGACGCUGAGACGCGAAAGCGUGGGGAGCGAACAGG